UACGAAGGGGGCUAGCGUUGCUCGGAAUGACUGGGCGUAAAGGGCGCGUAGGCGGAUGGCACAGGCAGAUGUGAAAUUCCCGGGCUUAACCUGGGGGCUGCAUUUGAUACGUGUUGUCUUGAGUUCGGAAGAGGGUCGUGGAAUUCCCAGUGUAGAGGUGAAAUUCGUAGAUAUUGGGAAGAACACCGGUGGCGAAGGCGGCGACCUGGUCCGACACUGACGCUGAGGCGCGAAAGCGUGGGGAGCAAACAGG
rnacentral:rRNA from 1 species